UAUUGCGCAAUGGACGAAAGUCUGACGCAGCGACGCCGCGUGGGGGAUGAAGGUCUUCGGAUUGUAAACCCCUUUCGGGAGGGAAGAUGGAGUGGGUAACCACUUGGACGGUACCUCCAGAAGCAGCCACGGCUAACUUCGUGCCAGCAGCCGCGGUAAUACGAAGGUGGCAAGCGUUGUUCGGAUUCACUGGGCGUACAGGGAGCGUAGGCGGUUGGGUAAGCCCUCCGUGAAAUCUCCGGGCCUAACCCGGAAAGUGCAGAGGGGACUGCUCAGCUAGAGGAUGGGAGAGGAGCGCGGAAUUCCCGGUGUAGCGGUGAAAUGCGUAGAGAUCGGGAGGAAGGCCGGUGGCGAAGGCGGCGCUCUGAACAUUCUGACGCUGAGGCCGAA
rnacentral:rRNA from 1 species